CAAAUACGAAACCGCAUUUCUUUGAAGCCCGCUCCCUUUACUACACAUAUAUACAAAUGCACAUCUUGGCCUUCCAAGGACAGAGAAACCGCACAGGGAAGAGACAGAAGAGAGAGAAAGAAAAGAAAGCAAGUGAAAGAGGAAGUCAUGGAAGACAGAAGAAGGUUGAUGAGAAGUCACAGGUACCGGCCUAUUCCGAAGAGAGGUCAAGUGAAAGCGGCGAUCGUCAUGGGUUUUGCAAACUAUUUGGCCUCUUUCUUUGCUAAUCAGAACGGAAGCCCUUUUACAUCACAAGAUUUGUGACAUUUCAGGAAUUUUUUAGCUCAAUUUCCUAGGCUCAAGAUGUUUAUUCACUGGCCACUCUUUUGGGCCAUUUCUUUUAGGGAUCUCAGUAUUAAGAGAGAGAAGUCUUGGGGCUGUAAUUUUGCUGCCCAUUUUUGUAGCCAAAGGAAAUGGAAGCAUUUUAUGACUUUCCUGAAAUAAGUUUUCUUGUUUCUUGAUUCCAUCUUUUUGUUUGUUAGGUUUGUGAAAUUUUAUUCCAGAAUAUUUGAUUUAGUAAAAUUAGAGAUAAAUUUAAGGAUAAGUUUCACCAAUUUCGUUGAGUUGAGAAGAGUCCUCGAAGAGUGGGAUUUACA
rnacentral:lncRNA from 1 species